rnacentral:rRNA from 1 species
UACAGAGGGGGCAAGCGUUGUUCGGAAUUACUGGGCGUAAAGGGCGCGUAGGCGGCUUGCUAAGUCGAACGUGAAAUCCCUGGGCUCAACCCAGGAACUGCGUCCGAUACUGGUUGGCUUGAAUCCGGGAGAGGGAUGUGGAAUUCCAGGUGUAGCGGUGAAAUGCGUAGAUAUCUGGAGGAACACCGAUGGCGAAGGCGGCAUCCUGGACCAACACUGACGCUGAGGAGCGAAAGCCAGGGGAGCAAACGGG